GGUUUCCGUAGGUGAACCAGCGG
rnacentral:rRNA from 1 species